AGAGUUUGAUCCUGGCUCAGGACGAACGCUGGCGGCGUGCUUAACACAUGCAAGUCGAACGAUGAAGCCCAGCUUGCUGGGUGGAAGAGUGGCGAACGGGUGAGUAACACGUGAGUAACCUGCCCAUCACUCUGGGAUAAGCGCUGGAAACGGCGUCUAAUACUGGAUAUGAACAGCGGCCGCAUGGUCAGUUGUUGGAAAGAUUUAUUGGUGAUGGAUGGACUCGCGGCCUAUCAGCUAGUUGGUGAGGUAAUGGCUCACCAAGGCGACGACGGGUAGCCGGCCUGAGAGGGUGACCGGCCACACUGGGACUGAGACACGGCCCAGACUCCUACGGGAGGCAGCAGUGGGGAAUAUUGCACAAUGGGCGCAAGCCUGAUGCAGCAACGCCGCGUGAGGGAUGACGGCCUUCGGGUUGUAAACCUCUUUUAGUAGGGAAGAAGCGCAAGUGACGGUACCUGCAGAAAAAGCACCGGCUAACUACGUGCCAGCAGCCGCGGUAAUACGUAGGGUGCAAGCGUUGUCCGGAAUUAUUGGGCGUAAAGAGCUCGUAGGCGGCUUGUCGCGUCUGCUGUGAAAACCCGAGGCUCAACCUCGGGCUUGCAGUGGGUACGGGCAGGCUAGAGUGCGGUAGGGGAGAUUGGAAUUCCUGGUGUAGCGGUGGAAUGCGCAGAUAUCAGGAGGAACACCAAUGGCGAAGGCAGAUCUCUGGGCCGUAACUGACGCUGAGGAGCGAAAGCAUGGGGAGCGAACAGGAUUAGAUACCCUGGUAGUCCAUGCCGUAAACGUUGGGAACUAGAUGUAGGGCCUGUUCCACGGGUUCUGUGUCGUAGCUAACGCAUUAAGUUCCCCGCCUGGGGAGUACGGCCGCAAGGCUAAAACUCAAAGGAAUUGACGGGGGCCCGCACAAGCGGCGGAGCAUGCGGAUUAAUUCGAUGCAACGCGAAGAACCUUACCAAGGCUUGACAUAUUCGAGAACGGGCCAGAAAUGGUCAACUCUUUGGACACUCGUUUACAGGUGGUGCAUGGUUGUCGUCAGCUCGUGUCGUGAGAUGUUCGGUUAAGUCCGGCAACGAGCGCAACCCUCGUCCUAUGUUGCCAGCACGUAAUGGUGGGAACUCAUGGGAUACG
rnacentral:rRNA from 1 species